UUUAUCCAUUAGAUAUUAAUAUUUUUAACAAGAAUAUUUGACAACCAUGGUUAAACUUCAAUAAAACUUUCUGCGGUGGUCGCACAAUCAAUCAUAAACAAAUAGUCAUGCGUAGCAUAUUAAUGCUCAAUUUCACAAGUAUAUCCAAAAUACAACCCGACAAAAUAUCCAUCCGGUGACAAUUUGGAGCAUUUCGGGAACCCAAAAUUUCCAAGAAUACAGGUAACAAUGACGGAAAGUUUAUCAAGGAGGCUUUUGUUUCAUCUCAAGGCUGCCGACGGUACAGACCUAACAAAAUAUUUCUAUGAGGAGUUUCGAUUCACUUCUAGGAGGGUUAAUCGCGGCUCCCCAACAGAUCGCGAGAUCUCCAUUGUUGAAGUCAAGCUAGAGUUACAAUUGUAUCUCAAUUUAUGUUGCCUCUGAAGACUGCAUAACUCGGCUUCAAUUUCUUAGAAGAAGGAAACCUACCCGGCAUCACCAAUUAAUGAUAAUGUAAUCACACGUAUUGCGUUAAAAUGCAGUAGCAAGAUUGAAGGCUACUCACGGGCAGGGUUAUUUUAAGGAGAUGUCAUAUUUAAUUAUCACAUUCAAUAAACGUUGAGAGUAUGGUUCCUGGGCAAUGCCGAAGUUGUGACUGACUUUUCUAUGGUGAUAAGCUGUUGGAGUAUAUGCAACCGCUUCGCAAUGUAAGGAUAGCCUAACUAGCCGAUCAACGAAGGAAACUUGAAGGUUCGAUUUGUCAUAAGAGAGAAAUUGUGGUUGAAUGAUUUUUCUAGUUAAACACCGACAGUGGAAUCAAUAUUGUGUUGCAACUUGAUUGAAAAAUGCAGUUUGACUAUGUAAAAGAACAUGAUUUGAAUGUUUUAAAGGAAAAUAUGAUUGUUUAUGCUGGAAAAUCGAUGAGAUCGGUUUGUUGUUUCGAAAUGAAACCGUGAUGUCUCGUUCAGAAUGGCCAUAAUACAGGAGGUGACCGCCACAAUCUUUCCGAGACUUUUCUAUGUGCAACCCUGUUUGGACUGAAAGUUGGAUUCAUUUUGUUGUAACCGGACCGGAAUCAAAUAUAACUCAUGUAAUGGAGAGAGGGUUGUCAUCCAAUUAAUACAAGCAUGUAAAACUGCCGGCCAAAUUCACGAAGGCGAUACACUUGCGACUGAUAUGCAAAUAGCAAUCAAGGCUAUGUAUCUUACAUUUGUUUUAGCAGGAUGUCUGUAACUGACAGCUUUGCACCAAAAGAGGGAGAUUACACAAGCAGCCGGAAAAUGUCAUGAACUAAUGCAAAAUUUAUCCUUAGAGCCAUAAGGGGAAGGUAAACGGGAAGGUCUUCGUCAAUGGAGUCUUAACCAUGACUCACGAGCAGUUCUAUCAUGGGAAUGUAUAGAUGAACAUGCGACUACUGAAAUAGGACAAUGCAUUGGUUGUAUUUAUGUAGUUGUUUACACUUGUACUACACUUUAGUAUUGAUCAUUGGACAAAUUUAUUUGUUU